UGCAGUGUGGUAGCGGGAGGAGAAGGCGGGGUUUUCCCGAGAGUGGCCUUGCUGAUCUGUGUUGAGCACACGCGAGUUGGGAAAUGUUACGGUUUACUCAUAGGAAAAAAGGGGAAUUCCCCAUUGCAGUUUCAGAGCGUCGCUGUUCAGCUGUUGGAUUGGCUGGUGAUUGGUUGGAUUUUCACGUUUCUCUGAGUGCGGGGAAUGUUUGUGUGGUGGGACCGUGUACUUCACAGUGACGGAGAUUGAGCAGGGGAGAGCGAGUGCACGUGUGGACACGCGUGAGCAACGGCUCAGUGGAUCUCUUAGUGCAGUUCAUCGUUCAACCAAAAGCAUCAUAAACCACUACCGUUGUUUAUCAGGGUAUUAACAAGAAAACUUGUACUUGUGUAUUUCGUUUACAUUUAUAUACUGUCGUAUGAAUUGUAAAGGGAGACUGUAUAAAAGGGGGAAAGAAAAACGCAGCAAACUCCUUGUUGGACAAUCGGGUUUCUUUAAUUGUUUUUUCUCAGUAUAUGUUUCAUUUCUGGAUCUUGCCUAUAAGUGGAAAUCUCUGUCAUUAAUGCCACAGUCUUUGUAUACGUGGUCACAAAUAAAGAACCCUUUUCGUUAUAGAUGUCUGAUGUUAUUUGAUUUACUCCUGGAGUAAGUACAUUAUCCCGGUCACAUCUUUUUGGUACCAGAAGUGGGGUUAAUUGGCUCAGUAGGUUUCCUUUGGUGGGGAGUACAAUUUGUUUUCUUUUAAACAAACGAAGAGAAAAAUGUAAUACCCUGUUAGCUAAGUGGAAGUA